UGCAGUCGACGGUAGCACAGAGAGCUUGCUCUCGGGUGACGAGUGGCGGACGGGUGAGUAAUGUCUGGGAAACUGCCUGAUGGAGGGGGAUAACUACUGGAAACGGUAGCUAAUACCGCAUAACGUCGCAAGACCAAAGAGGGGGACCUUCGGGCCUCUUGCCAUCAGAUGUGCCCAGAUGGGAUUAGCUAGUAGGUGGGGUAACGGCUCACCUAGGCGACGAUCCCUAGCUGGUCUGAGAGGAUGACCAGCCACACUGGAACUGAGACACGGUCCAGACUCCUACGGGAGGCAGCAGUGGGGAAUAUUGCACAAUGGGCGCAAGCCUGAUGCAGCCAUGCCGCGUGUAUGAAGAAGGCCUUCGGGUUGUAAAGUACUUUCAGCGGGGAGGAAGGUGUUGUGGUUAAUAACCGCAGCAAUUGACGUUACCCGCAGAAGAAGCACCGGCUAACUCCGUGCCAGCAGCCGCGGUAAUACGGAGGGUGCAAGCGUUAAUCGGAAUUACUGGGCGUAAAGCGCACGCAGGCGGUCUGUCAAGUCGGAUGUGAAAUCCCCGGGCUCAACCUGGGAACUGCAUUCGAAACUGGCAGGCUAGAGUCUUGUAGAGGGGGGUAGAAUUCCAGGUGUAGCGGUGAAAUGCGUAGAGAUCUGGAGGAAUACCGGUGGCGAAGGCGGCCCCCUGGACAAAGACUGACGCUCAGGUGCGAAAGCGUGGGAAGCAAACAGGAUUAGAUACCCUGGUAGUCCACGCCGUAAACGAUGUCGAUUUGGAGGUUGUGCCCUUGAGGCGUGGCUUCCGGAGCUAACGCGUUAAAUCGACCGCCUGGGGAGUACGGCCGCAAGGUUAAAACUCAAAUGAAUUGACGGGGGCCCGCACAAGCGGUGGAGCAUGUGGUUUAAUUCGAUGCAACGCGAAGAACCUUACCUGGUCUUGACAUCCACAGAACUUUCCAGAGAUGGAUUGGUGCCUUCGGGAACUGUGAGACAGGUGCUGCAUGGCUGUCGUCAGCUCGUGUUGUGAAAUGUUGGGUUAAGUCCCGCAACGAGCGCAACCCUUAUCCUUUGUUGCCAGCGGUUAGGCCGGGAACUCAAAGGAGACUGCCAGUGAUAAACUGGAGGAAGGUGGGGAUGACGUCAAGUCAUCAUGGCCCUUACGACCAGGGCUACACACGUGCUACAAUGGCGCAUACAAAGAGAAGCGACCUCGCGAGAGCAAGCGGACCUCAUAAAGUGCGUCGUAGUCCGGAUUGGAGUCUGCAACUCGACUCCAUGAAGUCGGAAUCGCUAGUAAUCGUAGAUCAGAAUGCUACGGUGAAUACGUUCCCGGGCCUUGUACACACCGCCCGUCACACCAUGGGAGUGGGUUGCAAAAGAAGUAGGUAGCUUAACCUUCGGGAGGGCGCUUACCACUUUGUGAUUCAUGACUGGGGUGAAGUC
rnacentral:rRNA from 2 species